GUGAGGAAAAGGGGAAACUUAUUUUUUGCUUUAAAAAUUUGCUGUCUUAGAAAUUAUCUGGCUUUGGUUGGUCAAAUGUGCAUGUCUGUGCAAUCUAUUGCAGGCUGACAUCAGAAUGAAAAGAGAAACUCAACUCAUGGGUCUGAACUGUGGUGCUUAAUUGAAGAACUGUCAGUGCCAUAAGCAGCAGCAUAUAAAGGCUCCUUCUGAGUUUUAAUUAAUACUCAGCUGCUCAUCUUCUAUCACUUUGUCUGCCCAGACACAUAUCACAAAGGGCAAGCCCUGGAAAUGAAGAUACAAUUAUUCUUUAAUUUGAAAAGCAAACUGUAGAGUUGAUAGCAUUGACUCCUGCUCACAGUGCUGUCAAACUUUGCUUUAACUCAAUUAUUGAGGCAUUUGGUUCAUUUAGAAUAGAUUUGAGCAUGUGAAUGUGAAACUGCAUCAAUGUGAAACAUUGGUGUUCCUUCGCAGACGAUGUAAGUAUCCACAGCAGUCAAUAAUAUUUAUCUCUCUAUGAAUUUUCCAGCUUAAAUUAAAGCAAAAAACGAGAACAACAACAACAAACCACAGGCAUAUCAGGAGUGGAAACAAACUCCAGACUAGUGUUUGUGGAUGUGAACUCCAACGGAAAUGAAGCCUGACAGAGAACUUUGUAGGGCUGAGAUGAAUAGCAAGCUGCUUGGCUCCUGGCUCUUGUCACCCAGAAGAAAUGUUAUUGGCAGUAUAAUUUAGGAUUCACAUAUGCUGAUUGGAAGUGUUUGCUUUUGUCACAGAGCAGAAAAAGAGGUUUUUUGUUUUUUGUUUUUGCUUACAAGUAGUUUUAAAACAUUUCUGACUGUAGAUCAUAGUUUGACAUUAUGUGCUUUAAAUAACAAAAUGCUUUCAACUGGAGUGUGAAAAAAAUCCAAAUUUGAUCAGGACACCAUUUUCAGAGCAGUGGUUCCCUCACCCAUUAAUUAAGUGUGAAGUGUAUUUGCUGGUCUGCUCUCAUUCUUAAAUCAACUUCGACUGGUUCUGCUGAAAAUUGUCAGUGUGAUGUCCAAAUUUUUCCAUUGGCCUACCAUUAUUCCAGAUUUACAUGAGAACUUUGAACCCCGAAAGCAUUCGCUAAGCUCACUUUAAAUGAAUAAUGUCAAAGUUCAAUUUCAUUUAAGGCUGUCUUCAAUUUGCUUGUAUGUAGUGGUAGAGAAGGAAUGCAGGAAAGCUGUCCCAUUGGCUGGCAGGUGAGAAUUAGUUCAAAAGGAAGCCUGGUGCCUCCAGGAACGUCUUUCUAGCAGGAGUCUGAUCUCUGCAGGUUACUCUUUGGAAUUAUUUUAAAUUGGCCUCUCCUUAUGCUGUGCUGGUUGGAAGUACCCGUUAUCUGCAAUCCUGUUUAGCUUACAACUUUAAAACAUAAUUGAGGGCAUUAUUUCAAAGCACAGUGCUUUCUGAAGCUCCGUUGCUGAGAAGGAGUUCCGCACUUCAACAAGAACUCUUCUGAUGCAGCGAACCCUGGCCUCUGUCCUGGUUUUGUGAAAGUAAAGCUGAGCUGGGAAGGCUCUGGCAUUCUUUACAGUGUUUAUAUGAAAUAUACUUCAGUAUUUCUUUCGUCAAAAUGCAGAUGAAACUUAACUCAGUGGUUUUUUUAAUUUUCUUUGAUGAAGGAACUUGCAAAGAAAUUAUUCCGUAAGCAAUUUCUUCUUGCCUGCCCUGCUGAAGGAGUUCAGGCACAAAGGCUGUUCUUUUACAGCAUGGCAUGUUUGCAUUGCGCCUCUUGGGGAUAUUGACACAACUUGCAAAUGCUAAGAGAAGGCUGUGCCCCAACAAGGUGGUAAAAUGCCAAUGGAUUUGCAUAGAAUCCUAGAAUGGCUGAGGCGGGAAGGGUCCCCAAAGAUCACCCAGUCCCACCCCUGCCGUGGGUUGGGUGCCUCCCACCAGGUCAGUGCCCAGAGCUCCACCCAACCUGAGCACCCCCAGGAAUGGCACAACCAUAGCUCUGGGCAGCACUGCCAGUGCUUCACCGCCUCUGUGUAAAGAAUGACUUUCUAACAUCUAACUUAAAUCUCCCCUCUUUCAGUUUAUAGCCAUUCCGACUUGUCCUGUCACUAUUAGACCAUGUAGAAAGUCAGUAUUUAAGAGAGAGGUCUCCUGCAGUGUUAUGGUUGUACCUGUGUAGCAGCAGCUGUGCUAAGCCUCCCAUGCUCCAUGAGGUUCUAUCAUGUGAAACUCAAUCACAAGACCAGAUUCUCUGGUAAGAUAAUGUUUAAUUUUUUUACGUCAAUACUGAAAUGGACCAAGGCUGAGGGCUUUUUUGUGUCUCUUUGUAGAUGCUCAGACAGUAGAGAUGCUGACCAGCCAAUUGUAUCUGACAGUGCUGUUGGAAAUGAGUCUCUUUUCUGUCUUUUCCUCUGCAUACUGCCCUAGUUUCCUCCCAGCAGUCGCACAGCGUGGCACCAGCAGUGCAAUUCAGAUCUAAAUUUAUGAAUGUCUGCUACAGUGUGAGUUGUGCCCCUACGCGCUGCUUGUUCUCAUGCAUCUUGAAGCAGUAGGAAAAUAACAAAGCUGAUGGAAAGAAGGCACAGGAACGUAAUAAUGGUGGAAAGCACAUUUUCUCAUUUAGUCAUCUAAGAAAAAAAUGUGUUAAAAAGAUUCUGAAAGAGUGCUGAAAGGUUGAUGCUGCAGUGUGUGGCUUGGGGAGCUUGGAGGGGAGUGUUUGUGAAGGCAAUGCUGCCUCUUGGUCAGAACAUCAGUAGUUCUGUGCUCUGCUUGGAACUGUAGUUGAAACUGCUGAUAACCCUGGAGGUAGAUACAAUGAAGGGUGUCAAAUCAUUAAGGAGAAAAAACCAUCUGAAUACUUUCAAAAAUCCCAACCAUUGACCAUCACGAUCCUUUUAUGAAUUGUUCCAUGUACUGAUUACAGCUGACCUGUUCAGGGUGCAGCCAUCACUCACCUGCAGCACGUUCCCUCACCACCUCUCCUGCAGCAGUGCUAUUUCCCUGACUCAGUGCUUAGAAGGUGCUUUGAGGAACGCUGCUUUAUAGCUCUCUCCUUCUCUCUGCUUUACUAUUUCCAUGCACAGUUGUUUUCUUUCCUUUGUUGUUGCUUGGCAUUGUUUUCUUUCUUUUUGUUGCUGUAAGAGCCCUAGCAGCUGGAUUCCCACUUACCUGCGUCUGUUUUUGUAUUGCCUGCUUUUCUUUUCCCCUUAAUGAGCGCUGCACUCUGUAGUUUUUCCUGUGUAAUAUAGGUAACUGGCAGAUGUUCUUCAGUCUUUUCUUAAAUUUUGCUAUCCUUAGCUAUAUUGUUGUUAUUUACUGCUGCUUUUCCCCUUAUGGUGGCCUCCAAAGAGAAAAACAGGGCUUUGGUUGCAUUAGGCGUUGUACCGGGAGAGCAAGAAUGGGACCUUUGUGAAGAAGCUGGAGCGUGACUGAUGGGAGGGAGGAAGGAGGGGCAUUGGGGUGAUGGAGCCGUGCUGGUUGGUGUGCUUUUGGUGUGCCUGGGAAAUGUCCUGACACCCGAUCACACCUUUAACACUGUGUGCUGGUACAUAGCCCUCUGGUCCUUGGGGAAUUGAAGUAAAAAUGAUAAUAGGCAUUGGAGAGGAAAUCAUAUUCUUGGAGAUGUCUUGCAGUGUGCACUAAUAUAGCUGGGAAAAUAAGAAAAUGAAGACAAAGCAACGUUUACUCUUCAAAGUGUUUUGUUUUUUCUUGGUUCUUGGUAUCAAUUCUUCCCUUUCUGUUUCACCACGCUGGUAAGAGCAUCGGGAUCCCAAAGUGCUCAGUGCUGAGUUAAACUCAGCCCCUGCUCAAGGGCUCCCAGUGUCAUGGAACCACUGGCAAUACUGGGGUGGUGAGCCAUUGGGGUAGGAGUGGGCAAAGCCCACAGCAGUGAGGCCAUUCAGAAGGACUACAGGAUUGAGAUGGACGUGGGAGGGCUGGUUCUUAAGGAAAUCAUUGCUGCGUGUAGCUGUGCCAUGCUGGUUGUAAGAACAAACAAGGAGGAGACAACCAACUGGCAUCCAUGAGUGCCCACCAGAAAGGUGGUGAUGGGUGCGGUGAAGAUGGGAGGAACUGGUGGGAAGGGUUUGUGAGUGGGAGAUGCUGAACUCUCUUUUAGUUGAGGAGGAUUGCUGGAUGUCUGUGAUGUAUUAUUGGGCUCUUAUUUUGCUUGAAUGAAGCAGAUAGAUUUGCCUAUCUAGGUUAGGCCUGAGUCAUCAACAGAAAUGGCUGAGCUAUUUAUGCUUUUCGAAAACAAGAUUGCCCAGAGAUAAAGCACUGACACACAGGGGACCACAAAUGGCAUCUCAUGGUGACCCUCUUUUCACUUUUUCUCCAUUCCAGACAUGGAGAGGGAGAUGAGCAUCCUCUCAAAAGCAUACCAAAGGAGCAAUUACUGAUAGUAUUGCUCCCCCCCCACCCCCUUCUUGUUUUCUUCAUUUCUUUACAUUCAUUUAUUUUCAGUGCUUCCUUGCCAGCUCUCUACUUAUUCCAGGCAUUCCUGUUGACUUCAUGCUGCAGCUCCCCAGAGCUUCUCACUCAUUGCCUUGUGCCUCCACUGCUUUCUCUCCAGCACCUCCCUCUUUCCAGGCUCUAUUUCCCUUCUUUGGAUCACUAUCUGAGAGGUUUGUCUGUACUUUUUCCCUAUUUGCAGGCUGGAAGAGAUGGGGGCAGUUUCCUUUAUGAGAGGGAGCUAUCUGUGGGCAGAUACCUUAACUCUGACAAGCCCAGGGAGCUCCAUUUUCAUGUGUGAUGUCCCUUAUCUCCGCUGGUAGGAGGCAAUUUGCCAUUUCAGAGUGACACAGAGAGCCGUAGUCUUAAAUUUUGAGUUAUGGAUGUCAGCAGUGGUUACCAGGGAAACUUCUAAAAUUACCCUGGUGAUGUGUCCUCUCAGAUACUACAUCAGAUCUCCAGCAAAUGGCACUGAGUGAGCAGGCGCAGGCUGAGGAAGCAUAGCUGUGCAAGGCUCCUGUAGGCUGUACUUACAAGUAAAAUAAAAAUCCCUAAAACUUGAGGGUGAUGCAGGGUCGGCAGUUCUGCAAUCCUGAAUCCGCAAUCCGCAAAGGGGCAUGAAGGAAACACAAAACAUUGAUUCUGUAAAAUUUCUGUAAGACAGAAACUUUAACAGAUCUGUGUUUGUUAACCUCUUUUUUAGGUUUUAUGGUUUUGUUUUUAAAUAACACCCAGAGAGCAGUUGCUUCCAAUAGCUGGCUGACAAAACCUGUAACUCAUGGCUAGAAACCUACAUUUGUGGAGAUGCUGUGCUUCCCCACCCCCUAAGCAUCCAAAGAGGGUAAAAGGAGAGAAAUGCACUCAUGCAUAUUUAAAUGCAUGCUAAUCAGAAACCUGUAGAACUAUGAGUUCCUGUUGCAUUAGAACACGUUCUGCAGCUAUAAUGCUGUGCUGCCUUCUCUUCCUUAGUAAGUAUGAGCCACAGAGUACUGGAGAUUGGAUCCCUUCAUGUUUUCCCUGUCCUUGUUCUUGUUUUUUGGCAAUUGCUGUUCAUUGCUGUCACACAAUGCUCAGAAUUAAUUCAUUGAGCUGGAUGGCCAGGCUUAUGGAUAGCAAACAUCUGCCCUUCCUGGAGCUGCUGGGUGGGCUUGGUUGACCUGCCCUGACCCUGUGCCUGCCAGCCUGCCAGGAGCCAUGCAAACAGUAUUUCCUAAAUGCUACAUGGCCAAUUUAUGAAUAUGUUUUUAUUGUCUUCACUCAAAUAGGGCUCUGCUUUGAAGUACAAGCUUUUUUCAAGGGAAAGAUGUAUAGAAGUUGGUCCCAAAGUAAAGCUUCCUAUUUAUUACCAUGCAACUGCAACAGCUACCAAGACCAUGAUCACACUACUUGGUACAGUAAAUUCUCAGCUAUAAAACACUGUUUUUCAGCAUAGUCACCACCAUCAGCUUUGUGUUGUCACCACAAUGAUGAAAAGCCUGCAUGUCACACUCAUCAAAAUCUGCAUGUGUAUUCAAAAUGUUGUUUGGCUUUCACAUCACUGCUGCACUGCUGAAACAUGCCAUCCACUGCCUCACUGUGCUCACGUCCACUGUUUGGUCUCUGCAUAUGUUCACAAGAGCCAAUGACUGUCGAUGGAUGCCAUUUUUCUUCAAAGAGGAAUUUGGUGACACAUCUCUGCUUCCUGCAUGCUUCCAUGUCAGGCACUAUUGUGUCAGACUGCCCCUCUGCUGCUAUCUGUCACACAGCAACGAAAUGUAAAGGGAUAUUGGUGAGAAGGUUCAAUCUCUACUGCCAUAAUGUCAACAUCCACCUCUGUUAUUGUAGUCCAACAUCAUAACAUAGGAGGCAUUACUUUUGGAGCAGCCCCUUAUAUAUUCUAUGCUUUUAACUGAAAUAAAUGUUUGUGCAACUUCACUUUCAAAAUGCAAUGGCUGGCCGGGUAAGCCACAUGUGUAUAUUAUCUGAUAACAAACGUUGGAUCAAUCUCUUGAACCAACAACAGCUAAGAUAGAUUACAUGGCUCAGAUGUCUUGCUGCAUGGGGCUGACCGUGCUGUUGGUGCGUUCUCAGGCUGACUUUUAUGGCUUUCGUGCAAGCACUCUGAGGCCAUAAUCUAAACAUCUGAGGAAUGUGCACAGAAAUACGCCACACAUGCAGCUGUGACAGAUAAUUGGCCAACCUCAGAACUCGGGAACGUGCUGCUGUGAGAACCUGAUUGCUCUGCUGAAAUGGAUCCAUAAAGCGAGCAGGACAAGUUAAAGUGAAUCCUAUAUUCUCUGGCUGACUAGAUGCUAAUUGCUAACAUCAGUGCUGCAUCUGAGACAGAUAUUAGCUCCGUGUGCAAUUACCAGGCUGAUGUAUUGAGGAACUGAAAUCCCAAGAUGAAAACCAGAAGAACGAGGUACUGUACAGUCAUCUUGGAAGAUAGUACCCCAGUUUCACUACUUAUAAUUACAGAACAUCAUUAACUUUUGAAAAUGAAAAGGAAAAUCUGCUAUUAGUGUUCUUUCCUGCUGUGAUGCAGCAUGAGGGGUUCUCAAUGUCUAUGCUUGUUCUUUGUUGCUCUCGCUAAAGCAUCCCUUUCUUGAAGAGAACAUUUAUGACUGAGAAGGCCAGGGACUCUGGGAAUGAUAUUCUAACAGAGUUAGAAAAUGCCAGAAUGUUACUGACCUCAAUCAAGAUUACAUUUCUGAAGUAGUUUGUGACAUUCUCUUGCCAUGAGUAGUUGCACAGUUUGUAUUUCAGAGUUAGGAAGAUCUACAGUAAAGGAACAAUGCAAUUCAUGUAAAGAGAGGAAAUUAUAACUUUUGUUCAGUUCCUUACCAACAUUUAUUGACUUUAUUUCUGCUUAAUCAUAAAACUGACACCAAGCCCAGCUCUUUGUUUGCAGGUCAGUAGACUUAAAUGCUCACUAGAACAAGAAUUCUGUGGAAUCAUUAAAUGAAUGGAAUACUUCUGUACAUGAAUAUACUUCAUUGUGAUGGGAUAGAUGAACAGAUUUGGAUUCCUCAAAGAGAGAGAUUUAUUUGUCUCUUCAAGCCAGACAAGGUGGGACUCAGGAAUUGCAUUUUAAGAAGAAUCACUUUGAAGGCAAGAAAGAGUCAUGUGAGAAAACAAGCAUUUGAGAAAAUCUUACACAGAGUUUAAAAUUGAUUGAGUUACAAAUAAAGACAUUGUUCAGAAAAGGAAUGAGCUUUGAAAGACUCAGGGUAUGCAGCACUGUGCUGAGAAUAAGGAAGAGAUAUGGUCCUAUUUCGUUGUUCUCUGGAGUGGGGAAGUGGAGCAGUGGGAGUGUGUUGGGAUCAAAGGAUGGCUGGUAAUUUAUUUUGUGUCCUUUUCUACAGUUACUUUGAUAUCCAGCAUAAGCUGAAAUGAAUAACGUUCAUUUCUUGAGGAAAAUAUGGUGCAUUUGAAAACCAGUGUUCAAAUGAGCAAUAAUCCAGUCUGGCUUCCUUUGUGUUAUCCAAAGCAGCAGCGUCUUCAGCUUGAGAUAAGGGUAGGGAGACUGCUUAAUUUCAAAGGUUUUCACUUUUAUCUUAGACUGGGAAAUCUGAAUACUUUAAUGGGUUUAGGUUUUUAAUUUAAUUCCAGGUUGCUCAUCAUUUCACCUUUCAGCUGGGCUAUAGAGAUAAUUCAAUCAUAUUUCCCUUGACAAACCAUCUGAAUUUUGCUUAAAUUUCUCUGUGGAUGUGAAAAUCAGCCACCACAAUAGAGUGCAUGACAGACUCUUUUGCCUUCCUUCCUUUUUAGUUCCUUAAUUUUGGAACUGUUCUAUUCUUGCUCCGUAAUGCAGAUGUCCUCUGACACAGGCACUUGAGAGACAGACCUUGUACUUCUGCAAAGACAUGAUGCCAAAAGUUUCAGAAGUAGGGCAACAGAGCAGUCAUCAGGAAACAAAAAGAUCCAAUAUGAACAAACAGCAUAUUUUGGGUAGUCUGGGGAUUGUGUGGGCUCAACUUCUGCCCAGAGUUCACAUGACAGGUUUUUACAGAGAGUUUAUUUUUUGUUUCCUGAGACCUAUCUACUUGCUAUCCAGCAGUACAUAAUCAGCUCUUUUGACUCAAAUACAUCAAAACAGAGAAGGAUUCUCUGGUCUGAUUCUUGAACCCAAAAGGCUGAUCAAGAAAGACACAAACAAGAGGUAAUAUUUUCUUAAAUUCGCCUUCCUCUGUUAGACUUUACAGAUUAAUUUUGUGUUUAAAAGGUCUUUUCUUGAAGGUACCCCAAACAAGUCAGCAUUUCAUAUGUCUGUGUGAAUGCAUACUAAAAUGAAUCACAUUUCCACAGUCAGAUAAGGUCCAUCCUUUUGCCUUUUUUCACUGCUCAUCUGUCUUUGAAAGUGGCUAAAUAUGAUAAAUGCAUUCAAUUUCAUCCCCUCUGUGUUAUGCUAACACUGAAGGUCACAACAUUGAGAAAUGCUCUGGAGUGAACCAGCACUGAACUGCACUGUGCUUUAAUGACUUUUAAGGUCUCCAGGUAUGAACAGCUAUCAUCAUCCCGCAGAGACAUUUCUGCCCUUUCCUAUUUAGAUCUGGCUCUUGUAUUAGAUGUUCCAGCUGAGUCAAAGAGGCAUCAAAGGCACUUAAGGCCCCUUUCCUUCAAGACCCAGACUGUAAUACCUGAGAAGUUUAUCCUCUUUAAUUGUAGACCACACAAACAUGCUGAAAGCUCACACUGACACCCCCCUGUGCAUGACAAGCUGUCAUUCUACUGGAAUAAUUUUCUGACAUUCUUCAGAGGGAUGUGGACAUUCAUUUUUUGCCCUCACAGAAAGCAUCCACAUUGCAUGCUAUUUAUAAAACUGUCAUUCAUUUUGUAACAGGCAGGCGUUCACACACAACCCUGGACAUGAAACAGCCUUUUUAUUCAAGGCAUUUUUGGUACUUUAUUGAAGAUAGGCUCUCCCGGAUGGGGAAGUAAAAUCAGGAUCUCAGUUCUUUUCCACAGGCAGCUUCUAGAAUGGAUGUCUAUGUAGUAAGAGGGUGUAAGUAAAAAAAAAACAACAGGCCCAAAACAACUACAGAACUUAAAAUGUGUGCUAAUGUGCAUAUGUGUGCUCAUGUAUGUUUACACUAAGACAAAUCACAACUUACUAGGCCCAUGUCAAACUAAUACAGACUGAUGGGCAAUGUAGGUAACAGCAUCCUUUUGUAAGGCAUUAACAUAGGUCCUAUUCUUUACAUGAUAUGUCUGUACUGUGCUGUUUUGAUAGAACUAUGAAUGCAAACAACAGAACACAAUAAUUUAAAAGAGGAAUUUUUCUGUUUUCUUUUAAAAUAAUUCAGAUAAUACAGAAUGAGAGAGCAAUAGUGGAUAGAUGAAUCACGUCAAAGAAUAUUUAUUUUAAAGUUUGUCUAUACUUUUAUUCAAAAAUAAAGACAGUGUUUUGCUCAUUAAUUAUUGUCAAGAGAGUUUUAAAAGCUCUGUUUUUCUUUGAGGGGAUUGGCUCUAAAUCUUUUGUGUGAAAGUGAGGAGUAUUUUAAUUUCUUUUAGUCUAGAAUAACUUCCAACUGCUCUUAGAUUACCAAGGAGACGCUGUCUUUUUCUAAGGUCAACAUGGAAGAUAAAGAGAAGACAGGUCAAAUUUGGAAAAUAAUGGAAGAAAAGUAGUUAAGCUGACAAAAACGAGAAAGGAUGUGAACACAUAAGGUCAUAACGAAAACCUAAGUUAAAACUGAAUAACUUGUCUUGCAACACAGUGGCUCUUCAGUCAAUAAAUUAUCUAGACAAAGCUUAUUACAAAUUAUUCUCUUCAGUGCAAUUAGGCAUUUGAAAUAUUUGAACAGAUGGGAAGUGUUUCAGCCCAAAUUAUGAUUCUUCUCACUUUGUUUUCCGGUAAAUGACAAAACAUUCUUUCCAUAGCCUGGAAAAAAAGAGGGAUUGAGAGAACAUACAGAAGCAUAAAAUACAUUGAAAUUAGUAAUGCAGCCAUGUAAAAAAAA